rnacentral:lncRNA from 1 species
UUGUCUAUUUUGUAUAUUUUCUGUAUAAUGACAGUCUAUUUUUGUAUAUCUAUUGUAUAAAAAAUUUAUAGUGAUAGUCUAUUUUUGUAUAUAUUUUAUAUAGUGACAGUUUAUUGUUUAUAAAUUGUAUAGUAACAAUCUAUUUUAUAUAAUUUUUGUAUAGUGACAAUCUAUUUUGUAUAUAUAUUUUUGUAAUAUACCAAUAUUCAAAAGAAAUGCUCUAUAUGGUGAUGACUCAGAAUUAUCUAAAAUGAAUUUUAAAUAUUAGCCUCGUAUACAAUUGUUUAUGGUGAUGACUCAGCACUCCAUUGUCGUUGAUUCUUUGUUGUUGCUGUUGAAGUACAUCCAUUUGAGGCUUAUGGAUAGUGGUUUCCAUCUGAAGAUUCUGAUCGAUCGAUAACGUUGAUCGUGGCACGCCGUUCUGAUUUGACUAAUGAUCGACGAUAGCAGAAUCAUUGAUGUCCAUCUGAUUCAACGACCCGUUCUCACCCACGACCAUGAUUGUUCCUUCUUUCAGCAACUAUGUGCCCAAGACUGGUCCUUUUUUCUCCUUCUUCUUUAAACCUUUCUUUCCCAAUUCGGGUUCUGUGAAAAAGCCAACAUGGAAAAGAAAAAGAUCAGUCAUUUCAUUCCUAAUUUAUCAAGCUCGAGUUAAUAUCAUAAUUUCCACCAAACAGAAUUAUCAGAAAAAGAAAAAUGAAAAUCGAUAUUUGUACCUGCUAGGUCUAGAGGGCGGUGCGGUGAUUGAGGAAAACCCUAAGAUUAAGGAAGGGAUUACUCAGAAAUUUACCGACUAUUUGCGCCGGGCGGAGGAGAUCCGAGCUGCGUUGGAUGAGGAUGGGACCGGGCCAGGUCCGAAUGGAGGGGAUGCAGUUGUGGCGACAAGAUGAAGACGAAAACCAAGGAUGGAGAAGAUGGAUAGGAUUCUUAGGCUAACCUUUUAAUUAGUUUUAGGCUAUAAAAUGCAUACUAAAAUUCAGUGGCGAGGGGUUGAUGUUAGUGUUUACCGACUGACCAUAAAUGAAGUUGCUCGAAAAGUAGUCCACUCAAAAUCUCAAAAUUUUCUCUACAAAAAU